UAGGGAAUCUUCCACAAUGGGCGAAAGCCUGAUGGAGCAACGCCGCGUGUGUGAUGAAGGGUUUCGGCUCGUAAAACGCUGUUGUAAGAGAAGAAUGACAUUGAGAGUAACUGUUCAAUGUGUGACGGUAUCUUACCAGAAAGGAACGGCUAAAUACGUGCCGG
rnacentral:rRNA from 1 species